AGCACAGAGUCUCAGCCACUGGACCAGGGAAGUGUCUGACAAUCUGGUUUCUUAAACUGGUGCUCUACCCCCAGGGAGAGUGAGGAGGCUGCCAAGGAGGUGUCUGGGCCAUGCCCAUUAAAUUGUUCCCCCAAACCCGUGAAUCUUGUAUAAGGAUCAUGAUACAAGCCACUCUUUAUCUUAAGCCAUCUCCCUCUUAAGCCACUCUCCCUUGCUCAUUACCUCUAGUCACACAGGCUCACUUUGGCUUCCUGCUUCCUGCUUCAAGGCCUUUGCCCAUGCAGUGUCCUCUGCCUGGAUCACCAAAGUGCCCAAGGCACCUAAACUCUCUCCUUCUUAGAGCUAACUAGCAAUAGUCAUUUGUGCAGUGAUUUGUGUGAAACCGUCUUCCUCCCAGGACCACGGAAGACAGCCCAUCACCCACGUCACGUGGCCUCCCAGGUCGCCUUGAGACGGAAGGAGAAACAGAAGAGUAUCUAGAAGGUUUCAGUGGCCUAAGUCUGUAAGAAAUGCGUGUCCCUUCUGCUCACAUUUCAUUGGCUGGAAUUAGUCACAUGACCCUCCUAACCGCAAGGGAGGCUGGGAGAUGUGGUCUCACUGUGUAUAGAAGAGGAAGACGCGGAUGUUCAGGCAGACCAGGCUUGCUGCAAUCUCUACAUUGCAGCUCAAGUUUGAAUCCUGUUGCUUUCCAGCUUGAAACUCAUCUUUGCAUACAUGGAGACCACAGAGUUGUUCCAGCAGCUUAAUGAUGUCAUAAAAGACAUGGAUUCUUCCUACUUUUUCACUCCUUCAUCGUUAUAUUUGAGAACCUCAUCGUCCCAGGAUGGCUAUCACUUCUGUAACCAUCAGCCUUGUAACCAUUCCCCUGAGUUCUUCUCUUCCUUCCGAUUCUUUUAUCAGGGAAGCUUCCUAGAAGCAUCUCGGCACGUUUUCUCUUGCGUCAGAACUAGGUCACAUGACCAUCUGCAUUAGUAAUCCACUGCUGUAAAACAAAUUACCCAAAACCUAGCUGCUGCAGUAAACAUCUACCAUCUCUAGAAGUUUCUGUGAGUCAAGUGUCCAGGAAUGGCUU